ensembl:lncRNA
UCUAAACUUGCAAGAGGCAGAAAAAUGACAGUUAAAAGCAAGGCCUCUGGGGUUCAACAGCCUGGAUUUGGAAUCGUGGCUCUGCUGCUGACUCGCUGAGACCUUGAGCCGGUUUCCUCACCUCAGGAUCCUCAUCUGUCAAGUGGCGACGACAACCAAACCGAUUUCAUAAGAAGUUCAUGAGGAUUAAAUGGCCAUCCUCUGGGCCUUCUGGGCCUCCCUCGCCUCCCUCGCCUUCCCUUCAGCUACAGCUCCAAUGGAUGCUGGGCAAACACCCAUCUGUGGAAUCCUCGCUGCUGGACACAGUGCUUCCCCACAGGCCAACUAAGUGAAGGACCUGGGGCCCAGAGUCAGGCUUGUAGGCUGCUUGUGGCUGCUUCUCUCAGUUCUGGGUCUGUGACUGGCCUCUCAGCCCCAGAAACAAAAGGGUAGCAGUCUCGGACACUCCUGACUGGCUCUCUCUCCCUCCCGGAUCUGAGCUGGCAGAGUUAGUCCGCCAGCAGCUGGGGAGGAGGGCUAUGCACUGGGAAACUGACAGCACGGGCACUGAAUCUUCUGCUCCAGACCCUCCUUCUCCGAGAAGCUUCCAAGAGGGCAGGUACCAAGUGCUGUCUGGGACUAGCCUCUCAGCCCCAGAGACAGAAGGGUACUUCCCAAACCCACUUCACCCAGUGACACUGGGCCAUCGCAGAAAACACAGCAAGUCCCUGCAGUCCCAGCCCCCCCGCCAUGGCACUGUCUGCCAGAAUCCACACCUGCCUCCUCUUUCCCCACCUGCUGACUCCUGGGGAGAGACAGAUGUGUCCUUGACCUUUAUGACACCAGCUGCAUUAACACAGCUGAUCCUGGUCAUCUGCAGACCCCUUUGCCUUCACACUGUCCUCAGAGUCUGCUCAGCUGCCCAACCCCGGUGCCUGGUCCAGAGGUCAGUUCACAGCAAGCACUCAACAUUCAUUCUGGCUGCAUGUCUCCUAAAAUGCAGUCCUGGAACAGCACUGCUACCCAGCCACCUGAGACCAAUGCAUGUGUUAUGUAAGACAGGCACCAAAAGAUGGCACACCCUUACCUAG